rnacentral:rRNA from 1 species
UACGGAGGAUGCAAGCGUUAUCCGGAAUGAUUGGGCGUAAAGCGUCCGCAGGUGGCAAUGUAAGUCUGCUGUCAAAGCGUCUGGCUCAACCAGAUAAAGGCAGUGGAAACUACAUGGCUAGAGUGCGUUCGGGGCAGAGGGAAUUCCUGGUGUAGCGGUGAAAUGCGUAGAUAUCAGGAAGAACACCGGUGGCGAAAGCGCUCUGCUAGGCCGCAACUGACACUGAGGGACGAAAGCUAGGGGAGCGAAUGGG